UGAACAAAAACAAGAGAACCCCCAAAAAAACAAAAGAAGAAACAAGCGUUUUUUUUUUUUUUUUUUUUUUUUUUGCAUUUUUGAAUGAUUUAUGUUCCUAUUCAUUUCUGAAGGUGUGGAGGGGAGGGUGGAUAAUAACAUGGUAGCAAAUGAAUGACACUCUAUGUGGGGUAUGCACAAAGAAGAGCAAGGAUAGUCUUAUUUU
rnacentral:ribozyme from 12 species